rnacentral:lncRNA from 1 species
ACACUACAAGGUUGAGCCAAUGCAUAUACAGUCAGAUCUGCAUAUAGAUGUGUUUGGUCAUUUUGUAAAACAAAAUAUAGAAUCAACUCAACCUGUAUUGUUCGUUAACUAAAUUUUGUGCGUGUAUAUAUAGUCCAGUCUAAUAAUAUGAGGAUUCUUACAGCCCGCAGCGUUGGUUGCAAAUUGUUAAGCAUGUUUCUACAAACUUGCCCUCUCUAGACUUGCCAACAUCCUCCACAACUUUCCAUUGCUCCUCCCAAGUCCCAACUACUUAGUUUACUCACCUAGUCUAUUGCAACCCUAUUGAUUUGCUAAUGGUGCGCACAAGACAUCCACUUUUAAUGCUCUGCCCUCCUUGAUUUGCUUGAUGCCCGGUGGACAAACUUCAGCUAAUAAGCUGGUUUUUAAUUUAGUUAUUACGAGUAAAUCACCGUCCAUGUACAUAUUCAGUUUCAUU